rnacentral:rRNA from 1 species
UGCUACUUUGCUGACGAGCGGCGGACGGGUGAGUAAUGCUUGGGAACAUGCCUUGAGGUGGGGGACAACAGUUGGAAACGACUGCUAAUACCGCAUAAUGUCUACGGACCAAAGGGGGCUUCGGCUCUCGCCUUUAGAUUGGCCCAAGUGGGAUUAGCUAGUUGGUGAGGUAAUGGCUCACCAAGGCGACGAUCCCUAGCUGGUUUGAGAGGAUGAUCAGCCACACUGGGACUGAGACACGGCCCAGACUCCUACGGGAGGCAGCAGUGGGGAAUAUUGCACAAUGGGCGCAAGCCUGAUGCAGCCAUGCCGCGUGUGUGAAGAAGGCCUUCGGGUUGUAAAGCACUUUCAGUCAGGAGGAAAGGUUAGUAGUUAAUACCUGCUAGCUGUGACGUUACUGACAGAAGAAGCACCGGCUAACUCCGUGCCAGCAGCCGCGGUAAUACGGAGGGUGCGAGCGUUAAUCGGAAUUACUGGGCGUAAAGCGUACGCAGGCGGUUUGUUAAGCGAGAUGUGAAAGCCCCGGGCUCAACCUGGGAACUGCAUUUUGAACUGGCAAGCUAGAGUUUUGUAGAGGGUAGUGGAAUUUCCAGUGUAGCGGUGAAAUGCGUAGAGAUUGGAAGGAACAUCAGUGGCGAAGGCGGCUACCU